rnacentral:rRNA from 1 species
UACGUAGGCAGCGAGCGUUGUUCGGAAUUACUGGGCGUAAAGAGUGUGUAGGCGGUGUUCCAAGUCUGGUGUGAAAUCUCCCGGCUUAACUGGGAGGGUGCGCCGGAAACUGGAAUGCUCGAGGGUGGGAGAGGUAAGCGGAAUUCCUGGUGUAGCGGUGAAAUGCGUAGAUAUCAGGAGGAACACCGAUGGCGAAGGCAGGUCUCUGGGCCAUAACUGACGCUGAGAAGCGAAAGCAUGGGGAGCGAACAGG